rnacentral:lncRNA from 1 species
UCCCCUUGGUUAAGAUACUAUCCAAUCCACCACUUUCCUUUCCUACAACCUACCCCCCAUCCUUCAACCCAUCAAUAUAGUUACUAGACAUACUUGUCCCAAACUUACCCCUAAAACCCAUGAAUUCAUCACUACUCAUCCUCCCUUUACCCCACAUACCUAUACUCUCCUAUUUGUUUUUAUCCCUAAACAAAACCCUUCUUUCAAUCUCACUUCCCUCCCCUAAACCUAAUUACCCCAUCAAACCAUCCUUACUAUCCUUAUUACCCACCAUAUCCUCCCAAUCCUCACCAAUAUUACCAACCCUUCCA